GUUCAUCGCCAGGGCUCUAAGACAGCGAGCCAUGUUCCUUCUUCUGGUGCUUCUCACUGGACUUGGUGGGAUGCAUGCAGACCUCAAUCCUCAUAAAAUCUUCCUGCAGACCACAAUUCCAGAGAAGAUUUCAUCAUCGGAUGCAAAAACAGAUCCAGAACAUAAUAUCAAUUUUAUCUUCAGCUUCUGUUAUUAAUUCUUAUGACGAAAAUGACAUCCGUCAUUCCAAACCUCUGCUAGUUCAGAUGGAUUGCAAUUAUAAUGGAUAUGUUGCGGGUAUUCCAAAUUCUCUUGUGACUCUCAGCGUAUGUUCAGGACUCAGGGGAACAAUGCAGCUGAAAAACAUCUCAUAUGGAAUUGAACCGAUGGAGGCUGUAUCAGGAUUUAUACACAAGAUUUAUGAAGAAAAAUAUGCUGACACUAAUAUUCUCUUAGAAGAAAAUGACACUUAUACUUGGUUUAAUUCAGAGUAUCAAGUCAGAAAAAGUUCAGAAAAAACUGACUUUAUUAAGUUAUUCCCUCGAUAUAUUGAAAUGCAUAUUGUUGUGGACAAAAAUUUGUUCAAACCGGCUAAUAUGAUUUGUAGGAAAUCAGUUGGUAAAGAAUGCGAUUUCACUGAAUAUUGCAAUGGGGACCUUCCAUACUGUUUGCCUGACACUUAUGUACGUGAUGGAGAAUAUUGUGAUUCAGGUGGAGCCUUCUGUUUUCAAGGAAAGUGUCGGACUUUUGACAAACAAUGUGAUGAUUUAAUUGGAAGAGGUUCAAGAGGUGCUCCGGUUUUCUGUUAUGAUGAAAUUAAUACCAGAGGAGACAAUUUUGGAAACUGUGGCACUGCACACUGUCUUUUUCAACAUAUUCUAUGUGGAAAAUUAGUCUGUACAUGGGAACACAGAGACUUAAUAUCACGUCCAAAUUUAUCUGUGAUUUAUGCACAUGUACGAGACCAAACAUGUGUGUCUACAUACCUACCCAGGAGGACGCCACCUCCAGUAAAUUCACCUAUUUCAAUCACAUCAUAUUAUUCAGCUGAAGACAGAGAUGAAACAUUUGUACAAGAUGGUUCCAUGUGUGGUCCUGAUAUGUAUUGUUUCGAAAUGCAUUGUAAACAUGUUAGAUUCCUGAUGAAUUUAAAAUUGUGUGAUGCUUCUAAUCAUUGUGAUCGUCAUGGAGUUUGCAACAAUUUUAACCAUUGCCAUUGUGAAAAGGGAUAUAAUCCUCCUUACUGCCAACCAAAGCAAGGAGCAUUUGGAAGUAUUGAUGAUGGACACUUAGUACCACCAACUGAGAGAAGUUACAUGGAGGAGGGAAGAUAGGCCACUUUUCAAAAACAACGGUUUCAACUCAUUUUCUACAUUUCUCUACCUGUGCUUCUUAUUACUACUGCCAUUUUAAUAAAACAGAAAAAAUUGAGAGAGCUAUGCUAUAGAGGGGAAAAUGAAAGUGAGAGCUCUGUGUCAGAAGAAAGCAGCAGUAACAGCAAGUCAUCCCUCAGUGAAAGCACCAGUCUCUAACAACCUUGAAUGCUACUGCUUGGAGAGAGGAGAGUAACAAAUACAUUAUCAGAAACUGGCCCAAACCAAGGAGGAACAAGACACAAUUUCUCUCUCAUUGCUCUUGUCACUGCUGAGGGUUUUAAACUAUGAAAUAAAUCAUCUGGCCUGAA
ensembl:lncRNA novel transcript